CUAAGCCCAUUCAGUCUGUCUUUCAAUGUUGCCUUUUGUAUAAGAUCCAACAACCGAAGAGGUCUCACGACUCCAGAGAUCACCUCCACUUUGACUUCGACAACGUUCUCCAUCCACCAGCCGGCAACCACCACUCUACCGGCGGCCGAUGGUGAAAAUGUAAGGCUUUCUUGCUUCCGCAGUCUUCCAUUUUCUCUGCUCAAGGCCAUUUUGUGUUGGUUGGGCAAGAUGGGUGUUUGCAUUUGCUUUUGUUUUCAUUGAGAGCUGUGCUUGUAUAAGGCUUUCACAAGGAAGGUUCUUUAUUUUGCAGCUGAUUCUUUUUAUUGCCGUUGUUCGUUUGCAGCUGUGUCUAUACCUCUGUUGUUAGUACGGAAAAGAUGUGUAUAGUGCUAAUGUGAAUAUGAAAAUACAUGUGAUGAUGUCAAUGUGUUCAAAUAUCUGCAGGAGCUCUGGAGACUUGGAGUAGCUGCAAUCACUAUCAUCAUCACUUCUGUUAAGUGUUAGGUAAAAUAAGAAGAAAAUUUUGUGCUAAGGUAAAAGAUAAUGUCUUCGUGUUUGGUUCCAUUUCCGUGAUAAAAAAAAACUGAUAGAUUCAUUUGAGUGUUUUGCUUGCUGUGCUUGUUUGUUGGGGUGAACUAAUAACUUAUCAAGUCCCUUUUGUUAAUCAGGUUAUGUAUAGUACUAUUCGUCUCUAUUUUUCGAACUUCUAUUCUGUUUGUUGGCUGUUUCGUUGUUGGAUGUUUUAACUUUGAACUGAGUAAUGUUUUGUUAGAGGCUACCUAUGAAUUAAAUAGAAUUGAGUUCUGUUGUGUGAAAUAGGUUCUGUUUAUAGAAUGGAACUGAGUUUUUCUGUGGUUGUUGUUAUUAUAAUGAUUCCAUUGGUUUCCUUAGGGGCAUCUAAAAUGAAAAGUGACUCUAGACGAGGGGUUAAACGUGGCAACUCUAGUUGGCCUCCAAAACCCCCUAGGACAAUUUCAAAGAAGAAUCGAGGUGGUGUCUCGUCUAGCACCCAAACACAUGAUUCAACAUCGCCUACCCAAAUACCAAUCGCAGACAUGCCAACUGAAGCAUAAAGGUCAGAAAUGCAAACUGCAACACCAACUGAAGAAAAAAUGGUGGACAUGCCAUAUCGAAAGCAAUCCGACACUUAGACUAACUUCAGGCCAGUUGUGAAUGCCAAAGGAUUAAAAAAGUUGGAGUGCAUACAUUGUGGCACCCUACUCACUGCUAAGACACGUAUUUCGUCGAAGUUGGCAUUCAUUGAGCUGUAAGAACAACAGGGACAUUACAAAUAGUCGUGGAAUGCAGCCAAACAUCCAGCCUACUGGUGAUGAUACAAUGGACCUAGGCAACUGGCAAUUUAGUGAAGUAAGAUUGAGGAAGGAAGGCCAUUUGGAUUCGUAGAGAAGGAAGGCUUUAGUAAGGUUAUGCAAGCGACAUGUCUGAUGUUUCAGAUGCCCUCUAAGAGCACUGUUAAAGAAGAUUGUUUAAAGUUGUUCCUUCACGAGAAGAAGAGACCAACAACAAGUAUUGCUGACCGCACAAGUGCUGAUGGAACUGCUGAUUGGGUUGACAUCAAGUUCUGAAUUCAAAUGCUGCCCACCUUCUGAUGAUAACAUGCUCUGUGAUGAGUCGGAAGGUACUGAUUAGCGACCUUAAUUCUAAUUAUCAGAUUGUGAUUCUGAAUGAGCUUAGUUUUACUAAUAAACUAGCGCUGAUCAUAUUCUGUUGUGCAUUCAAUAAUGUUCUUUCCAUUUUACUGAUGUUGCUCAUUCCAUUUUCUAGGCUCUGGAGAAUCAUAAUUCUGUGAUUAGCAAUCUUGAAUGCUGUUAGUUUUGCUAAUCUCUGUAAGUAACUAUGUACGUUAUCUACUAUUUUUCUUAUCGACAGUAAUUAUGCCUUUAAAGCUAUGAACAAUACAUUAAGUUUGUUAACUUGCAGGCCCAACUGUUUCAAAUUUUAAUCGGAGCAGCAGGCUUGCGUAGGAAUCGUAACAGCAGCUGCAAAUUGUAACCUGUAGCUGUGCAGUGAUAGUGUAGUAUGUAAUUUGAACUUAGAGGUUAAGUUGUGUUAUUGGUAUGUAACUGACCUGUCGAAUCUUAUCGGGGACUAAAACUGCAGUUGCUGGGAAAUCGGAAAGUGAUAGGAGUGGGAGAUUCACAUUCAGCUCAAGAUUGCUUUUAAGUAAUG
rnacentral:lncRNA from 1 species